rnacentral:rRNA from 1 species
UAGGGAAUCUUCCGCAAUGGACGAAAGUCUGACGGAGCAACGCCGCGUGAGUGAUGAAGGUUUUCGGAUCGUAAAGCUCUGUUGCCAAGGAAGAAAGAGCGAGGGAGUAACUGCCCUAGCGAAUGACGGUACUUGAGAAGAAAGCCCCGGCUAACUACGUGCCAGCAGCCGCGGUAAUACGUAGGGGGCAAGCGUUGUCCGGAAUUAUUGGGCGUAAAGCGCGCGCAGGCGGUUUGAUAAGUCUGGUGUAUAACCCCAAGGCUCAACCUUGGAUGGCACUUGAAACUGUCAGACUAGAGUGCAGGAGAGGAAAGCGGAAUUCCACGUGUAGCGGUGAAAUGCGUAGAUAUGUGGAGGAACACCAGUGGCGAAGGCGGCUUUCUGGACUGUAACUGACGCUGAGGCGCGAAAGCGUGGGGAGCAAACAGG